rfam:Peptostreptococcaceae bacterium CCRI-22567 contig-3000025, whole genome shotgun sequence.
AUCAGAGUAGGUAAAGAGCGUCAAGUGUUAAGAAAUGGGAAGUAGUUCUUAAACGAAGAAUGUCAAUUCUACGAUUCUUUAUCGCAUCCGCUGUA